CCGUAUGUACGCGGAGGACAUUACCGAGUUUACAACUCCCAAACCCCUGUGAACAUACCUAUACGUUGCCUCGGCGGAUCAGCCCGCGCCCCGUAAAACGGGACGGCCCGCCCGAGGACCCCUAAACUCUGUUUUUAGUGGAACUUCUGAGUAAAACAAACAAAUAAAUCAAAACUUUCAACAACGGAUCUCUUGGUUCUGGCAUCGAUGAAGAACGCAGCAAAAUGCGAUAAGUAAUGUGAAUUGCAGAAUUCAGUGAAUCAUCGAAUCUUUGAACGCACAUUGCGCCCGCCAGUAUUCUGGCGGGCAUGCCUGUUCGAGCGUCAUUUCAACCCUCAAGCUCAGCUUGGUGUUGGGACUCGCGGUAACCCGCGUUCCCCAAAUCGAUUGGCGGUCACGUCGAGCUUCCAUAGCGUAGUAAUCAUACACCUCGUUACUGGUAAUCGUCGCGGCCACGCCGUAAAACCCCAACUUCUGAAUGUUGACCUCGGAUCAGGUAGG
rnacentral:ncRNA from 1 species